UAUUUAAAUUUGACGUCCACUUUUCUUCCGCCGUCCGUCAUAGCGUUCAUAUAUCGCGCGAGUGGAACGUGACGUCACGUGUAAAGGGUCGAUAGAUAUAUGUCUAUGUAAAGGGUCAAUACACUUCGGUGCAGUAGGUGGCAGCAUCCAGAUUCAACAUUGGUCAGUAGAAUUAAGGAAGAAGAAAGAUUUGCUCACUCAAGUUUUGCAGCCUCCACUACUUCCUGGCGACGAUGGCAGGACUAAUUCUGCCAGCAACGAUGACAACAAAUGCUGCAGACAGAAGGCAGACCAUUCAGUGCACAGUUUCUGAUGAGUCACCUGAAAAGUUCCAGCCGGUUCGAUGUCCACCUGAGCUAAGUGCCACAUAUCUCCUUGGUUAUUCCUCUUCCACCAGACUGCAUUGGCCACUCUGUUCUGGACAAGGCCGGGCGACUGGCACGUCUGGUGACAGCAACUCCUUGGCUCCAUCUCACACUGGCUCUCCCUCUCAGAAGACGGAGUGCCCGCUGACAGUUAUCAAAGCCGCGUCUGGGCCGACUCCUUGUUUUGACAUUAGCCUGUCCUUCAGCGUGUCCUCACCCCCUUGCUUACACAGUUGCAACUGGUCAAUUUAAGUCAUUAGCUCUGUGACCGCAAUAGGACCUGACUGAGUUAGAUGGAAAGCCCAUGCGGUCCGUCCAUUAAAAUCAAUUCCAGCUCAUCUCCAUGUCUGAAGCUGUGACUGCUGUGGUAAAGGAUUUAUUAUUUUUUUUUCCUGUAUCAAUCCUCCAGUACACUAAAUCAUAAAACGUCAGCAGAGGGGCUACACACACAUGGAGGCCGUAAAAUUGAGGGUGUUGACCAAAAGGCUCAUGUGAUCCCUGAAAAUUGCAAAUGUAUCCCAAAAGAUUAACUCCAGAGGAAUUUCGCUUGCAGCAUCACCUUUGUGUACCAAACCAAAUUUAUUUCUAGGCUUGUUUUCUCUGUCCAGCUGACAGUUUCUUGGCAGAGAAGUGUCCAGCCUACGAGUGGUAUGUCAGCCAUGUUUAUUUUGGAUGACAGAUGCAAUCUGCCCCUGAAUCAGCUGACGGGUCAAUCUAUAUCUCAUUACUCUUUCCAAACAAUAUAAUCUGGGCUGGGAUUCACAAGGUAUCAUAAUGUAUUAGGUCGCUGUGACAUUAUGUAAACUUGGUAGUGCAACUCUUGACUACAAUGCAGCAGCAAAUCCUGUAAAGCAUGUUUUUGUUGUUUUUGUUUUAUGUUUUUUCACUUGUAAUGCAACAACUUAGAUGUUUUAUUCUAUUUCACACACUUAUACAUUUACUAUUCAUCCUCUACCCCAAAUCCUUCUUCCUCUCUCUCUCUCUCUUUGCUAUUAUUCUCUCUUUUUUUUCCAGGGCAGCUCAAAAGCAGGCUUUGCUCGUGUGAUUUACUUUCUAUUAGGGGAUUAAAAAUCAAUUAUGCAGGAAGCCAUGCGUAGGCGUGAUUAUAGCUGCGCAUGACGGCACCAUUCAUCACAGGACCACUCAUCUCUGCAGCCGUUAGUUACACAACGCACACCAGGGCCGCCAUCUUUUACCAUGAACUCUGCCCCUCGUCUUUUACUCAGUAUAAACGGAGUACAUCCACCCUAUAAGAUGAAUGACUUGGGAGCAUUUUUAGUAUAAAAAAAAGACUACAUAAUUUGCACGGCAAAGUGAAGAGGUGGGAAUAUAAAAUGUCCAAAAAUAUGUCGCGUUAUAUUCACCAACUGCUGAAGGGAACAUCCAUCCCAGUUAAAUGAAGCAGAUUAUAGCAAUUACAGACCCGUUUGCUGUGAAUUGAAUAACGCGGUCUCUGGCUUGACAAGACCACGAAACGGAACUGAAAUGGCAUCAAUAAAGAGCCUUCAAAUAAGGACCAUUAUCAGCUGUCACCUAUGAAGUUGCUGAUACGACUGGAGCUGCUUCCCCCGUAAAUAAAUUGUGAAUUACGUUUUCGUGACGAGCGACUUUUCCCCUUUGUCUAUUGGUUAGUGCCGGUUGUUAGAGCAGUGCACUGCUAAUCUCAGACACAGGAGAAGACACUUUAGAUGAGUUGCCCCGACUCGAAUAAGACAAAGUAGAAUCUAAUACUGAAGUGUGAAGAUUCAUUUGUGACCUUGGGAUCUGUAAUAAAAUAUGCAGAGUUUCUAAGCUUUACUCCAUUUUCUUCAGACAUUGUAAGAUAUCUCUGGGAGGCUGACAUUAGUCAUGACGUUCUACUGUAAAAAAAUAAAUAAAUAAAAUAAAAUAAAAUAACCUGCUACUCCUUAAUCUA